GAGAAACCAAUUCCUUCCUUCCCCUCUUUAGAAAGCCCAGCAGUAUCGAGAAAAUUCUUGGGGAAGCUGAACGAGAGCAAAAUCUAAUAUUCAGGCCUCCCACACCUCCGGAGCAGCCAAGAACACCACCUUUUAUGCCUCAUAGACCUGCAUCUCCACGGGGUCCAUCUCCUAGGGUUGCCUCUCCUAGGGUUGCUUCUCCAAGAGCUGCUUCCCCUCCACGAGCUGCAUCCCCUAGAGCUGCUUCUCCACCUCCACCUCCACCCCCACCCCCUCGAGCUGCUUCUCCACGAGUUGCUUCUCCAAGAGGUGCUUCUCCAAAACCUGCUCCUUCUAGGAUUGUUCGUCCUCGACCAGAACCAACUUUAAAGAACCAGCAUGCUUCAGCGACCCAAAUUCAAGCAGCCUAUAGAGGUUAUAAGGUAAGUCC
rnacentral:lncRNA from 1 species